rnacentral:rRNA from 1 species
UUCCCAGCAGCCCGCCGGUAUACGGAGGGGUGCAGCGUAAUCGGAAUUAUGGGGUAAAGUCGCAGCCAGGCGUCGUAGUCAGAUGUGAAAUCCCCCGGGCCUUACGUGGUACCUGCAUUGCAAACUGGCAGGCUUGAGUCUCGUAGAGGGGGGGUAGAAUUCCAGGGGUAGCGGUGAAUGCGUAGAGAUCUGGAGGGAUACCGGUGGCGAUGCCGGCCCCCAGGGACGAAGACUGACGCUCAGGUGCGAAAGCGUGGGGGAGCAAACAGGAUUAGAUACCCUGGUAGUCCACGCCGUAAACGAUGUCGACUUGGAGGUUGUGCCCUUGAGGCGUGGCUUCCGGAGCUAACGCGUUAAGUCGACCGCCUGGGGAGUACGGCCGCAAGGUUAAAACUCAAAUGAAUUGACGGGGGCCCGCACAAGCGGUGGAGCAUGUGGUUUAAUUCGAUGCAACGCGAAGAACCUUACCUGGCCUUGACAUCCAGAGAACUUAGCAGAGAUGCUUUGGUGCCUUCGGGAACUCUGAGACAGGUGCUGCAUGGCUGUCGUCAGCUCGUGUUGUGAAAUGUUGGGUUAAGUCCCGCAACGAGCGCAACCCUUAUCCUUUGUUGCCAGCGGUUCGGCCGGGAACUCAAAGGAGACUGCCGGUGAUAAACCGGAGGAAGGUGGGGAUGACGUCAAGUCAUCAUGGCCCUUACGGCCAGGGCUACACACGUGCUACAAUGGCGCAUACAAAGAGAAGCGACCUCGCGAGAGCAAGCGGACCUCAUAAAGUGCGUCGUAGUCCGGAUUGGAGUCUGCAACUCGACUCCAUGAAGUCGGAAUCGCUAGUAAUCGUAGAUCAGAAUGCUACGGUGAAUACGUUCCCGGGCCUUGUACACACCGCCCGUCACACCAUGGGAGUGGGUUGCAAAAGAAGUAGGUAGCUUAACCUUCGGGAGUCGCGUACCCACUUUUUAUUCA